CGACGAUUAGAGUUUGAUCCUGGCUCAGAUUGAACGCUGGCGGCAGGCUUAACACAUGCAAGUCGAGCGGUAACAGGAGAAGCUUGCUUCUCGCUGACGAGCGGCGGACGGGUGAGUAAUACUUAGGAAUCUACCUAGUAGUGGGGGAUAGCUCGGGGAAACUCGAAUUAAUACCGCAUACGACCUACGGGAGAAAGGGGGCAACUUGUUGCUCUCGCUAUUAGAUGAGCCUAAGUCGGAUUAGCUAGAUGGUGGGGUAAAGGCCUACCAUGGCGACGAUCUGUAGCUGGUCUGAGAGGAUGAUCAGCCACACCGGGACUGAGACACGGCCCGGACUCCUACGGGAGGCAGCAGUGGGGAAUAUUGGACAAUGGGGGCAACCCUGAUCCAGCCAUGCCGCGUGUGUGAAGAAGGCCUUUUGGUUGUAAAGCACUUUAAGCAGUGAAGAAGACUCCAUGGUUAAUACCCAUGGACGAUGACAUUAGCUGCAGAAUAAGCACCGGCUAACUCUGUGCCAGCAGCCGCGGUAAUACAGAGGGCGCAAGCGUUAAUCGGAAUUACUGGGCGUAAAGCGAGCGUAGGUGGCUUGAUAAGUCAGAUGUGAAAGCCCCGGGCUUAACCUGGGAACGGCAUCUGAUACUGUUAGGCUAGAGUAGGUGAGAGGAAGGUAGAAUUCCAGGUGUAGCGGUGAAAUGCGUAGAGAUCUGGAGGAAUACCGAUGGCGAAGGCAGCUUCUGGCAUCAUACUGACACUGAGGUUCGAAAGCGUGGGUAGCAAACAGGAUUAGAUACCCUGNGUAGUCCACGCCGUAAACGAUGUCUACUAGUCGUUGGGUCCCUUGAGGACUUAGUGACGCAGCUAACGCAAUAAGUAGACCGCCUGGGGAGUACGGCCGCAAGGUUAAAACUCAAAUGAAUUGACGGGGGCCCGCACAAGCGGUGGAGCAUGUGGUUUAAUUCGAUGCAACGCGAAGAACCUUACCUGGUCUUGACAUAUCUAGAAUCCUGCAGAGAUGCGGGAGUGCCUUCGGGAAUUAGAAUACAGGUGCUGCAUGGCUGUCGUCAGCUCGUGUCGUGAGAUGUUGGGUUAAGUCCCGCAACGAGCGCAAC
rnacentral:rRNA from 1 species